rnacentral:pre_miRNA from 1 species
AGUAGGAUAGCUGGGUCAAAUAGUGGUUCCAUUCCAAGUUUUGUAAGGAAUGUUCAUACUGCUUUCCGUAAUGGUUGCACCAAUUUGCAGUUCCACUAGCAAU